AUGGUGCGUCAAGCGCGGAAUAAUGGACUGAUUACUGGGCUUGCCCCUGAAUUAGUGGAAAAUGGUGUGGCCAUCUUGCAGUAUGCUGAUGAUACGGUGAUUUGCAUCGAGCAUGACCCUAAGAAAGCUCUAAAUAUGAAAAUAUUGCUCUAUAUGUUUGAAUUAAUGUCAGGAUUGAAAAUCAAUUUCCAAAAAAGUGAGAUUUUGUGUGUUGGUGGGGAUGAUGAUAUUCUGACAACAUAUGCUGAUAUGUUUAAUUGUCAAAUUGGACACUUCCCCAUGAAAUACCUGGGAGUACCAGUAAGCUACUCAACUUUAAGAGGAGUGGACUGGGAAUUUUUGGAAGAAAGGUACAUUAAAAGAUGUGAAUCCGGUUUAGGGAGUAAUGCU
rnacentral:rRNA from 1 species